rnacentral:lncRNA from 1 species
GUUUUGAGCAAGCCUUCUUGGCUGGAAAAAGAACUUCUAAUUAACAUAAAAUAACAGCUUUCAAACACUUGACUCAGGAUAUGGAAUUGAAAAGGUGUGGGCUUGCAUUUCAGAGAACCAGACAGGAAGAACAAUGGUAGAGUGGCUGAGCACAAACGAUGGAAAAAAGCACUUGGAAGACCUCUCAAGAGGAACAGCAUGAGAGAGGCUGGCAGAGAAAAGGAGCCAGGGACACAGCAGGGACAAAGAGGAAAGCCUGACAGCUGCUGCCUAGGCAGGAAUGCAAAAUGGCUGUGCAGAAAAGCAUGCGGGAUCUGCCCAAGCGGGGCAGCGGCUGAGGGGGCCCUGGAUACCUUCCCCAUCUCUUGCUGCCUCCUGUCCAGAUCGGGGGAGCUGGAGUGAGGCUGGCUGUCAAAUAUCCGAAGGAAAGUGAGCAUCUGUCACCAGCAGCCUCUGGUCCCAGGCUGAGUCACUGUCACUGAAAAUCAAUACCGUCACUGGCCCGACCUCCGCCAGGUGAGCCUAUGAUGCUGGGAUGACAGCUGUGCACGUCCUGGAGCUGGGAGGCCUCAAAUCACCCCGAGGCCCCUCUGGCAACAGCUGGAAGGGAUGAGAAAGGAUGGAACAGGUCAUGUGACCAUUCCCACUAGAUACCAAAUACUGCAUGGGGCCUCCCAAAAUGCACAUCCUCAAUAAUGUCACGUGAAUAAUCGAAUUCCUCAACGGUUACACAGGAAAUAAACAAUUCUUAGAUCAUC